rnacentral:rRNA from 1 species
AACGAACGCUGGCGGCAGGCCUAACACAUGCAAGUCGAACGCCGUAGCAAUACGGAGUGGCAGACGGGUGAGUAACGCGUGGGAACAUACCCCCUCGGUUCGGAAUAACUUAGGGAAACUUGAGCUAAUACCGGAUACGUCCGAGGUUUUAACCGGCCUCGGAGAAAGAUUUAUCGCCGGAGGAUUGGCCCGCGUCUGAUUAGCUUGUUGGUGAGGUAAUGGCUCACCAAGGCGACGAUCAGUAGCGGUCUGAGAGGAUGAUCAGCCACAUUGGGACUGAGACACGG